CCCAGUGACAUCUUCAGUAUCUUGGUGACCACAAAGGGAUCUAAAAAGAGGCAUGUGACUGUGGAGACCUUAACUUUGGUUAUACUCAGAUGUGAAAAUAUACAGAUCCUGAUCUACCCCAGACUCUUAAAAUUCCCAUGAUGAAAGAUAACCAUCAGUUCUUAUUGUCAGG
rnacentral:lncRNA from 1 species